GAUGAACGCUGGCGGCGUGCCUAAUACAUGCAAGUCGAGCGAACAGAUGAGGAGCUUGCUCCUCUGACGUUAGCGGCGGACGGGUGAGUAACACGUGGAUAACCUACCUAUAAGACUGGGAUAACUUCGGGAAACCGGAGCUAAUACCGGAUAAUAUAUUGAACCGCAUGGUUCAAUAGUGAAAGACGGCUUUGCUGUCACUUAUAGAUGGAUCCGCGCCGCAUUAGCUAGUUGGUAAGGUAACGGCUUACCAAGGCAACGAUGCGUAGCCGACGUGAGAGGGUGAUCGGCCACACUGGAACUGAGACACGGACCAGACUACUACGGUAGGCAGCAGUAGGGAAUCUUCCGCAAUGGGCGAAAGCCUGACGGAGCAACGCCGCGUGAGUGAUGAAGGUCUUCGGAUCGUAAAACUCUGUUAUUAGGGAAGAACAAAUGUGUAAGUAACUAUGCCCGUCUUGACGGUACCUAAUCAGAAAGCCACGGCUAACUACGUG
rnacentral:rRNA from 1 species